rnacentral:lncRNA from 1 species
AAAAAAAAAAUUAAAAAAAAAAAAAAAAAAAAAAAAAAAAAAAAAAAAAACACUAGAAAAGCUCUAAUAUUCGAGAAUCUCAUCGUAAAGCAAUAGUAUGAUUUACACAUUCACCCAAUACUCAGGGUUGUUAAAAUUGUGAACAUAUUUAAAUAAAUAUGAAUUUGGAUUGUAAUUAUAUCUAUUUUUAAGUGUAAUCCUUAACAUAUUUUAAAAACAAGGUGAUGUAAUUUACAUAACAUACCAGGAUCAUUAAUGUUUAAUAAUAAUUUGUUUCUCUAAUCCUCAAAUAGGACAUACCUCGGAAGCACAAGCAAUGCAAGGUACCAAAGAUGUCAAAACCAACUUGAAAUCCUGUGUGGUUUCAAAUGUUCGCAAUUCAUCAAUCAACGAGCUGCUACUUCAGUUGAUAGGAACUGCUUCCUAUCAAUAAAGAUUUAUGUUUGUUUAGAACUGAAACUCUCCUUUUCAAAUAACUCUUAACGAUAGAAAAGAUACCAACUCAAAUUUUAAGUUACCUUCGUGCAAGAAUUUCUCUGUUGAUCAAAUAAUGAGAGGCCUUAUCCAACACUGGGCAGAGACUUGACUACAAGUAACAUCAAUAGCAAUCUUGCAGUUUCCAGCUACAAAUUCAACUUGAGAUAUAAAAAGAUGCAGAUGCAUUAUAUUCUCACUUCCCAGGGAGGUCACUCCACAUCUGCCUAGCAAAGCAGCUCAUCUGUGCUAGUUGCUCACGAUUGGCUUGUAAAAUGCACCAUAUGCUACAAUCACAACAAACUUCUCUGUGCGGCUUGGGAUAGAUCAUAGUAAGUUUCUGUGUGAACGCUUCAACCUAAUAUGAAGGACAAAGAAAUCAAAAUGCAAACAUUAGAAAAUAUGCUUAAAAAACAAGUGAACAAUAGAUAUGAAGAAAACUCAAAUCCCAAGUCUCCAACGAAAUGAUUUUGUGAACUCAGACUAAACUUUCUUCAUAUCUAACAACAUAUUAGAUAUGAAGAAAGUUUAGUGAGUUGUAAUUUCCUGGCACUCUAUGUGAUUCUCCAAUCCAUUGUCUCUAGUUAACUGUGUCAUUUCGAACUAAUCCACCACUUUGUAAAGCUUGUUGAUAAAGUUCAUGCAACUUAAUUGAUGUAUUGAUCAGCAUAGCCAUUAUCGUCCCAAGCAUACUAAUUCAGGUAUUUAACCAAUCCUACCAAAGAACUAACAUAAUUGAUGAGAAACCCAAUUACGAAAAUGAUUAUGCAAUAUCAUUCAUGCAAUCUUUACUAUUUCAAUAUUGAUAACCAAUAAAUAUUCCUCCAUUUAAAUUGAAAAUUAAAUUAAAUGAUAAAAUAAGGGCAAAAUCAAGGAGUUCACAUGCAGCACUUGAUGUUGAGAUCGUGUUUUGGGGAGUUUGAGCUAAAGAUUGAUAAGGACAGAGACAAGACCUACAUACCGCCGCAUAAUCAUCAACACUAGGAGGAAUCUACCCAGCUAACUGCUGCUUCUUUCUUGAUAUUAUUCCUUUCCAUUAUUACUCUUAUUUCUGAUGCAUUUUCCCAUUGUCCCAUAUCGGCAUACAUGUUGUAUAACAAGACAUAUGGAACUGAGCUAUCUGGUUCGAGUUUCAUUAAUGCUUCAGCAGCAAUACGGGCAAUCUCUGCAUUGUUAUGGACCCUAGAAGCACCCAAUAAUGCACCCCAAACAGCCUUAUCUGGCUUAAAUGGCAUGCCAUUGAUCAAAUCCAAGGCCUCUUCAAGCUGUCCAUGCCGACCCACAAUGUCAACUAGGGAAGAGAAGUGUUCAAUCCUUGGCUCGAUGCCAUAUUCACUAACCAUGGAUUUAAAUAUCCCUCGACCUUCUUCAACCAGUCCAGCAUAAGCACAGGCAUUCAGAGCAGAAAUAAAUGUUAUAUAAGUAGGCUGCACUUUGGAAAUUCUCAUUAAUUUGAAAAGUUCCAAGGCCUCUGCAGCAUAACCAUGGGAUGCAUAUCCUCCAAUCAUUGCAUUCCAAGAAAUUACUUCUUUAUGCGGUUUCAUUUCAUCAAAAAUGGUCCAUGCCUCAAUUAUUGCCCCACAUCUUGAGUACAUCGUGAUGAGGGCAUUAUUCAAUGGCACAUCUGGGAUAACUGUCUUUCUGACCAGCUGAUGAAUCUGCAUACCCAAGUGCAGAUCCACAAUUCCAGAAGAUGCACUGAGAAGCGAAGAUAAUGUGUGUCGGUCAGGUUUCUCUCCUUCAACUUGCAUCCGAAAGAAGACCUUAAUUGCUCCUUUAUAAUCCUCCUUCUUCUCAUGCCCCGCAAUCAUGGAAUUCCACGACACCAAAUUCUUCUGGGGCAUCCUCUCAAAAAACUCAUGAGCAAGUUCCAAAUUACCUACCAGGGCAUGUCCUGAUAUCAUUGAAUUCCAUGAAAAGGAAUCAGGAUUUGGCAUUUUGCAAAAGAGGUUUGACGCCUCCUCCAUAUCUGAGACAUGAACAUAUCCACUAAUGAUGGUAUUCCAUGAAAAAGUGUCUAGUACAAUCAUUUGGUCAAAGAGUUCCCUAGCAGAAACAAUAUCUCCAGCCUUCACAUAGCACAUUAUCAUGGUAUUCCAUGACACCACAUUUCUCUCAAACCUCCCUUUACUUCCUUUUUGUUUGUCAUUAUUACUUGGCAUCUUAUCAAAAAGUUUCCGAGCUUCAUCCACCCUUCCUCUUUGACCAUAUCCCGCAAUCAAAGUAUUAUAAGCAUGCACCAACUCCUCUUUCCCACUAUUAUUAUUUCCAUAGUCAAGCAAAAUUUUUGCAGCUUCCUCAAGCUUCUCAUUAUGAAUAAGACCCGAUACAAGUGCACUCAACGAUGUUGAAUCCCUCUCUGGCAUUCUCUCAAAAAACUCAAUUGCACGCGCCACAUCACCAUUUUGCAAAAAACCAGAAACUAUAGCAUUCCAAGAAACAGCAUUUGGCUUAGGCAUUGUAUUAAAAAGCUGCAGAGCCUCCUCUAUUCUCCCAUUCCUUGCAUACCCACUAAUCAUUGUGUUCCAAGAAACGCAGUCCCUCUUUGGCAUUUUAUCAAACAAGCACCUUCCCUCCUCUAUAAACCUCUUCCCACGACAUGACACAUACCCCGAAAUCAUCAAAUUCCACGACACAACAUCCCUCUUUGGCAUUUCAUCAAAAAGCUUUCUUGCUUUAGUCAUCUCACCCUGUCUCGCAUACCCACUGAUCAUUGAGUUCCAUGAGAUGGUGUUUCUUUGCUCCAUUUUAUCAAACAAUGCCCUUGCAUCAUUAAUCUGACCUGUCUGGUUGAAACGCGUGAUUUUUUUAUUCAGGGAAAACAAGUCUCUGUCGCAAUCAUUAAAUGAACUCUUUGAUUUUGGAGCCGAUGCAAAACAGCUAGCUUCUAUGCUGAUGUAUGGCUUCCGUCUAGUCUGAAGCUUCCAUUUGCAUGAUGCGCCAAGGGCAAUUCUCAACCUGAGCAUAAUUUACAGAACAAGUUUACUGAACCUCUAAGAUUCAUUCAGCAACUGAUGAAUUAAACAAUCAAACUUUUUAUCAGAAAGUUAUUCAUUUUCUUAAUAUAUUUAGUUUUGCUCAGGUCACAUCACACGCUUGUCACACUCUUAACUUCUGAAACCAACAAAAAGAAUUAGGCGGUUUCAAAAAACGGUCAUCUAAUGGAACCUGCCAUAUUUGUCAAGCUAACUAAGAGUUUUCUUCACCUGUUCAACCUAUAAAAAUUUUUAAAACAAUUAUAAUCUACUAAAAAAAUAUUUUUUUUUUUAUAAAACUAAUAAUUGGCUAUAAAUAAAGGACAAUAUAAUUACCAAACCAGAAAUUACUAAUGCCACAGCUAGAUAUGUUAUUGACUUUUGAUUUGACAAUACUAUCUUAUAUGUAAGACGAUACUAUCCUUAUAUGUAAUAUUCUAAAUUUAUCAUUUUAUACUCUUAAAACUAUUCUUAUUAACUUCAAAUCUAUUCAUCUAUUUUUAUAUCAAUUCCAUACACAAUUUUUUCAUAUAGCCGACCCCCACUAGUUUGGACCUAAGGCUUGGUGGUGGUGGUUGUUUUUCCAUAUACAAUUUUUUCAAGAGAGAAAUAUUAACUUUGACAAACAUAUAAUAGCUAAACCUAAUACUUGUUUCAUCCUAUUAAUUAAUAAUGAAAAUUCGAAAAUCAGGACAACAAAAUUUAAAUGCAGAAAUAAAUAAAUAAAUAAAUAAAAUGAAAUUCUCAAGAAUACAUAUCAAACUAAAAAAUUUAAUUGUCUUCUUUAAUAAAAUAAUAAAAAAUGAACAUUAUUUUUCCCCAUUAAAUUUAUUCUUCUAAAUCCCUGAAAAUGUUAUUUUCCAGUUAACUCUGGUACCUGUUUAUAAAAUUAAAAAACAUUUCACAUGAACUAUAUAUUUUAGCUGCUUUUAAAAAUUUCACAUGACUAUACCAAAAUUUCCCUAAUCUCAGUUCCUUUGCAACCAAAACAUUUUUCCAUUCCUAUGGUUUGUUUAUUAACUGAACUAGCCAGUAUCUUACUGGUAGAUAAUUUGAUUUGGUAUAAUUUACUCAAAAAUCAAGUUGAAAAAAAAAAGCAGAACAUAUAUCCUCUCUUAUAAAAUGCUUACCGUGAGGAAAAUGAUAAAAUUACAGUCACGCAAAGAAGGCAAUACCAAAUAUGGAUUUUCUUUCUUUUCUUGCAUGUUCCCAAACAACUAAAGUGAUCUCUAGCCAUAUUUUCUCAGCCACCAAAAAAUUAGAAAAUAUAAUUACAGAAUUCUUAAUAUGCAAUUCGCAAAGUAAAACAAAUUAAAGAAGAGCUAAAAAAUGAAAAAGAAGGAUUGCUCACAUAGAUGUUGACAGUGAACUAAGUCGCUGCAGGACUGCACCUGCCAACAUAUUGAAUGGUGGUCAAAGACCGCUUUUGCUUCCUCCCAUUUUGAUUACUGCACAAAAAAUACCGGCAUAAAGGCUGUCAAGUAAAAGAGAUUCUCUAGAUUUCUGUCUCAGAUUCUAUAUCAAACAUGAAAAUAGAAAUUUGAGGCAAACGACAAUCAAUUUAUCUAAGAAAAGAUGAGUAAACAAAAAGUUAAAGUGAAAUGUGUCCAAUAAUGAACCUGAAUUCACAAAAUCAAAAAUAAUUGUUGCCUUCUUCCCUUCUAACUCUUCAAAAUUUCAGCUCUUUCAUUCAAAAUCUUCCCAAUCUCUUGCUAAUUCUGGAUAUUCAUGGAGUCUGGAAUCAAACGGUUAACAGAGAGGGUAGUUUCAUUUUUAUUUCAUCAAAAUUUGAUGAAAUGGAACAAAACUUGGGAUUUGGUUUGGGAAAUCACAAGGAAGUGUUGAAUUGAGAAGAAAAUAUUUAGAACUUUGAGAAGAGGACUUGGGUUGGUUUUUUGCUUAGUGACAUAAACAGGUUAGGAGGAAUGUGGCCUUUUUUUCACUCUUUUUUUGAAUGAAUUUCAAUGUUUAAGAGUAAAAGGUCAUAAAAAAAUUUAAUAAUAGUUGGACUUGUGCGGAGCUCGCCCGCAUGCAAGGUCCAACUUUAAAUAAAUAAUUAGUCAUUUAUCAGCAUAUUGUGGAUGGCAACGGGUCAGGUACACAAAAAGUGUCGUAUCCCAAUCCAAACUCACUUAAAUAUAAGGUACCUGAAUCCAUUUAAAAAAUUACCCCUGCAUUACCCAUAUUCGUCCCAAAUUGAAUUAGCAUUACCCAUUUGCAAUCCGGAUUCAUAGAAACAACCGUUUAACACAAAAUGAACAAAAUGCAUACAACACACAAUACACUAAACUGUAUAAACACUUGAUUAUUAUCGAACCCUUAUAAAAUAAAGAAAAUAGCAUGCUGUUAUUUUUACCACUCCAAUUGUCAGAAAUUGUAUGUAAUUACAUAGUUUUUACAAUUCAAAGAAACUUCAAGAAUCUACUAACUUAAUUAUAUAAUGGAGAGCAAGAAUGAAUACAUUUAAACUCCAGGUCUACGAAUAUGUGGCCUGUAAGUAUUUGGUCAAUAUAGUUUCUUGAAUCCCUGGACAAAAGAGACAGCUUAUUUGAUGAAAGUAAAAAUUAUUUAACUGCUGAAAAAGAAGAAUGCAUAAUGCAAUAAUGCAAUGUAUAGAGAAUGUAUAAUACAGUGUUGAUAUAUGGUUGUUAUUAGUUGUGUUUUCCAAUGCUUAUUUGUAGCAGUUCAUAUUAGUGAAGGUCUCACUGAUUACCUAAAUAAACCAAAUGAAAUAUAGGCAAUUUGAAUUAAUUAGUAAUCUUUAUUUCCUUGUGUAUGAGCUAAUGGAAAAUUUCUACAAAGGAGAGAGGGAGAAUAUGAAGAAUCAAUGUUAGAUUGUUGUUCCAGGAUUAGAUUUCAUUCCCAUCUGAACUUUGGCAGUCUUACAAAUCAGUUUCUAAUUUUGUGAAACUUAUGAAAAUUGUUCUGCAUGCCUACUGUAUAAAGUUUAUGCAUCUUUUGUCAGUUCAACUAAAGAAAAUAACACAUGCUGAUUUUACUUUAAAUAUUAAAUAGUAGCAUUUUUACGGAAAAGCCUUACCCUACAACCUACUGAGGAUGAUUUUGAUCAGAAGAUACAUAUUUAUUGAUCAAUCGUUUAGGUUUUUCAAUGAAAUUUUUGAAAUGCAUUUAGAAUUAAAUGCUUAACAGAAUCAUUUAGAUCUUUAGAAGUUAAGGAUUUUAAUCAACUUGCUUCAAUUUCACUCAUUUAUGUAUAAUUUUCUUGGUGUCUUUGCAAUUACAGAUACCAUCCAACACUUAAGUACAAAGAAUUCUGUACACUGGGAUGAUUCUAUUGUCAUUAAACUUGUUUUGACCGGCAUUUUAAGGAACUGAUUUUUCUAAACAAGAUUUACAAUCAGCAACAAAGAUAAAAAGAAACAAAAGAAAAGAAAUAAAAACUGCAGAAACAGGACAAGACAAAACCAGCAAAAAGAACAAAAGGAAACCAAAAACCAAAAAGAACUAAAGCGGCAAAACCAAACCAAAGAAUAAAAUAAGGCCCAAAGCAGCAGUAACAGUUUAAAAAAAAAAAAAAAAAAAAAAGAAAAAAGAAAAAAAGAGCAUAAGAAACCAAUUAACUUAGUCUAUCAUAUCAACGGCUAUUUACAUUCACAAAAUCAAACCACAUACUCAAUUUACAGUAAAGUGAAGAAAACAAAAAACGAAAUUAUUGACAGAGCUUUAACUUUAACAGUAACAAAAAUACCUUGCGAUUUGCGAGCCACAGAGCUAGUCUUGAACGAGACACAGAGCUUGUCGGCGGAGAUCGCCGCUCUUGAGGCGCGCUCGUCACUCGUCGGAUAAAAGGCAACAGGCAAAUCGAAGAUGAGAGACUAAGGCAACAAGAGAAAAAAUCAGAUCGAGGCAAAACUACUGCCUCGCGAAGAACGAAUUGAACUUUGAUUUAAAAAGUUAAUUCAAAACGACGUGGUUUGGUUAAGGCAUUUUCUGUGUCAAAACUUCGUCGUUCUGGUAGUGAAGUGUUAGUUAUUUUCUUCCUUUCUUUUUCUGGCCUAAUACAGAGAGAUAAUUAAAAUUUUAUGUAAUUCAGUUAUAAAUUUAAUUUUUAUAUCUGAUAUGCAAAAACUAAAAAUUUAAAUUUUGUGAAUUUAAUUCUAUAAUAUAAUUAAAUUAAAUUUCAUAAAAAAGUGAAAUUUUAGAAUGAAUUUCAUAAAUUUAAACAAUAUAUUUUCGCAGAUAAUAGUAGAUAAGUUCUUGAUGGGCUUAAAUCUAUGUUUCUGUAUUUUACACAACCAGCAAUUGAACAGAAAAAAAAAACAUUCGACCAUAAAAUGACAAGCAUCUAUUCCAAUCAAAAUUAUUAGUGAUCCAAGUUAUCAAAUGGGCCUCAAAUAUACACAAAGCCCAAACACAACAGAUACACACUCAUCAUCCUUAUAUUUAUUCAUCAAGUGGGCCCAAGCCAGCAGGAGGCGGUUACCAAAUGUACAAAGUUAAAUAUAUAGAGUAGAUACAACAGCUGCUAGCAUCUGCUUCUUGAAUGUUUUCACUGUAUUGAACUAUUCUACAAUACAAUUUUUGUCUCCAUUAAUACACUGUUUCAGUUUUCUCUUUCUCUGGUGAAGAAUGCUUUGAUAAUCUCAUCAGUUAGCAAACCUCAAUAAUCUUUUUUGUUGUUAAAAUUUUGAUUAACAGCCUAGCCUGAUAUGGUGGUGACAAUUCUAAAUGAAAACAUAACCAAUAAUUAAAAAAAAAAAAAAAAGAAAUAAAAAUACCUAUGCUUUUAUUGUGUUUCAGCCAUUCAUUUUGUUAAGAUUUGAUGGGAGGUUUAAAUUGAUAUAAUCUUAAAUUCAUAUAUUGAAUUGAAAAAAUUACGAAAUCAAAUCGAAGAAAAAGUAAACUUUCUUUUUAUUUGAUGCAAAUUGAAUUGCUUAGCGUGACUAAUAAACUACAGGCCCAUUUUGGCCCAUUCUCCAAAUUUUGGGCCCUCAUACUGGGCCUAAACGCACUCGUACUUUUACCCAAUUCCUCUUUGGCAAAAACCCAUAACUAUAAAUUUCCAUCUAUCUCUGGUAGGAAAAAGAUAAAAUUCCAACUAGUCCAUGAGGUUCAGCCAACUGUACAGUUUCAUCCCAAUAUUUAAAAAUAAAAGGAAUUAAGGAGUCCCAAAAUUUAAUUCCAUUAAUGAAAUAAUAUUUUUAUUUCCAUAGACCUGGUUUAGGUAGGUCUAAACCUUAUUAUAAUUAAUAUUAAUUAACCAAUAGUCAAUAAAUAUUUUUUUGAAAAAUAUAAUUCAUUAACUAUAAUAUCAAACAUUACGAAUAAUCAUAUAGAUCAGACAAUGAAUUUUACUAUCAUAAGCUAAUAGAGUUCGUUGAUCUUUUAACAAGCUAAAAUAAUUAUAUAUAUUCUUUUGAAUGAUAAUACUAAAUAUAAGAAAAUAUAAUAUUAUAUCUUUCCACUUGAAGAUGAUCUUGAUAAAAGAUAUAAAUAUUCUUAUUACCAACUAGUUUUUUAAUUGAUUUGGAUAGUAAAAUAAUAAUUACUUUGGAUCUUUUAUAUCUGAAUUGUUUUUAGCUAAAUUGUUUUUUCAAGGACUUGUAAUAUAUAACAUACACAUAUGAAUUCUCGCCAACAUACAUCAAUAGUAUCAAUAGAGGAACAAGUCGCACUAUUAGACUUCGUUGAUCAAAGAUUCACAUUUACAAAUCAAUAUCAAAAGUUUCCAACCAAAUAAAAUCAAAUAUUAUACUUUUAUUUAUAAUAAACUCUCAUACAGAAGGAACAAAAAGCUCUAAAUACGGAAACAAAAUAACAAUAAUAAAAAUCAAAACAAAUAUAUUAUAUGAUAAAUAGAUAUGAAUUUAUUAAAAUGGCUAAGAGAAUUUAAAAGAGAAAAAGAGAAGAAGUUGAAUCAAAGGAAAAAAAUAGAAUGUAGGAGAUUAUCACUAAUCAACAUCAAGCGGCCACAAACUAAAUUUUUAAACAUUUUAUAAAUUUCAAUCAAUGACUUCGUUAUUUUAGGUGUCUCGUCAUGCCGAAGAGAUAAUAAAAAAUCAAAAUUCGAAAGACUCAAGAAAGAUCAUCUUUUCACCAUUCAUAUUUAAAUAUAAUAUAUAUAACGGCAGAGCUUCUUAUGGUCGAAAGGUCGCUGGGCAAUUCUAAGAAAUUUUUUUUAAAAGAAAAAUUCUUAUGAAAUAUUAUAUUUUGGUCUUUAAAAAUAUAAAAAAAUUAUAUUUUGAUACCCUAAAAGUUUUUAAAACUUCAUUUAGCUUGUUUAAAGUAAUUGUCUUAGUUCUGUGCUGAAUAUAUAUAUAUAUAUAUAUAUAUAUAUAUAUAUAUUAAAUAUUCUAUGUAUUAUCCCUAUCACAUUUGCAUUGAUAACCAGGACAAGAAGCUUGUAGCCAAAUGUUAGAGUACUGACAACUAAUUCCCACUGUGAAAUGUUUUAUUAGCCUCUGAUCAUCAAUGAUUAAGUGGCCCACUUGUUUUAAUUUGUCCAGAACUUAUGGAAUAAUUAAUCAAGUAUUAAUAAUUAUUUUUGGAAGCGAACAUUCUAGAUAUACCUUUUUUCUCUUGUUCAGCUACUGCAACAUUUUUGUUGGAGAAUCAAGAACUUAUGGCUUAAAAUAUUCGCAUAUACUAUAUUAAGUACUCCCAUCUUCAAAAUAGUUCAUUUUCUAUUUUUACACAGAUUAAAAAAAUAAUAAUUAUUAUGAGUUUUGACAAUUCUAUUCCUAUAACUUUUCUAUCAUACCAUUUUAAAUAACAUAUGAGCAAUUAUUAUAUUUAAAUAAUAAGUAAAAAUUAAUGAGGGUUAUUGAAAAUAAGAAAAAAUUUAAUAAGGGUAUAAUAGACAAUUUCAUGAUUAACUAUAAUACAAAAAAGAAAAAUAAACCAUAUUUUAGGACAAAUUAAAAAGAAAAGAUGAAAUAUUUUUUUGAGGCAGAUCUAUUAUUCUUCUCACAAUAAUGAUUUUAUAAGUACAGUUUUUUUUUUUCUUUAUACUCAAAUGAUAUGAGAAGCUAAUUUUAUAAAAAACGAAGAUUAAUUUGUCUUUGAAUUUGUUUAAUAGGAUAAAAAAUGUCAAGAUUUGAUCUUUUUAGAUCAAUUUAACAUCUAAACUUAUUUAAAAUAAUUAAAAAGAUCAGAUUUAAUAUUUUGGAUUAAUUUAGUCCCUGACUAUUCGCUGUAUUUAUAACGUGAGAAUUCUUAUAUAGACAUUUAUUAAAAUUAUAGUUGGAAUCACGUGGUAUAAUUUAUUGAAAAAUUUAAUUAAAUAUCAAAUUGAGGAAAUAAUAUAUGAAAUAUAUUAUAUCCCUCUUUAUCUUGAUCUAUCAUUUUAAAUUCAUAAAUAUGUACUAAUUUAAAUAUUUUAAAAUUGAACUUUACUACUAGAUUAUUGCAUAUGCAGUUCAUGCAUUUCUCAUGUUAAACGAAUUCAAAGUUACACUACAUAUUUUAUAAAUUUACUGUGUUAAAGAAAUAAUAUUUUCGUGAUUUUAAAAUUCUAUUCAGAAGUAUUGGAAAAGUUUGAUCUAGAUAUUCCUAUUAAAUUGAAUCAAUUUAUUAUUUUGUAAAAAUCAAAAUAAAUUUAGUGGCUGAAUUGAUUUAAAAAAAAUCAAAUCUGACUUUUAAAUCCCAUAAAUAAGUUCGUGAGCUAAAUUAGUCUUUAUUCCAUUUUAUAACCACAAAGUCGUGUUUAAAAUUUUAAACAAUAUGGUUCUUAUGUUGCCUGUAACGGUUUCGUAUGCUCUAGUAGCUUUCUCUCUUUUGUCCAAGGUUUCUUGUCCUGCCAACAUGGAGAGGGACUUUAAUCAUUUGUCAAUCGCUGAUGAUGAGGAAGAAGGCUUGCCUGUUAACGCAUCUUCAGAUGCCACCAAGUCUACCUACGAAUUUUGUCUUGUCGACAUGUUCUUGACUUGCGGGACUGUGAAUUUUUAGUCCAUGCGAAACACUUUCGCAGAUUUGUGGCAUUCGCUCGGAGGGAUUAUAAUUACUGAUUUGGGAGCCAAACGUUUUCUGUUUCGGUUCUACAACAAAGUGGAUUUGGAUAGGGUUUUGAAUGGUGCCCCAUGGACUUUUAAUCGACACUUGCUGGUAUGGGGUCUGAUAAAAAAUGAUGAGGACCCGCUGCUGAUUCCUUUGCUAUACUCGGAUUUCUGGGUUCAGGUACAUAACUUGCCGGUCGGGUUAAUGUCUGCGGCAGUGGCCAAAUCAAUAGGGAAUUUCAUUGGUACUUUCAUUGAAUAUGACAUUAAGACUGUUCAUUUUGAUCCCAAUCAAUUUAUGAGACUGCAGGUUAAGUUGGAUAUUCGUACCUUUACGUAGAGGAAAGAAGUUGAUUGAUUCUAAUGGUAAUGUUCAUUAUGUCCAAUUCCAGAAUGAAAAACUUCUUGUGUUUUGCUAUACUUGCGGUCGCUUGGGACACACCGAUUCGUUCUGUAAAUUACAAUUGCACAAGUCUAAAAAAGAACUCAAGCCAGCUUGGGAUGAUCGAAUAAGGGUGCCGAUUCGCCGGAAAAUUCAGCAAACAACCAUGGCUGCAUGAUGAUAGAAAGUUUGAUGAUACUCCAAUCCAGGCAGAUAUUUCGGGAUGUGUGGGCGGGAAAUAUGGAGUUUUGAAAUCCCAACAAUUUUGAGCUUCCUUUUAUGGCACGAUAGUUAAUUUUAAUGUUAGUACUAAUCCCAUAGGCUUUAUGGAGACUGAUACAAAUUCUUUGAAUGGGUCCAAUACUGAUGGGCUUGACGAGGAUGUGGUCUUAGAAGAUGUGGGUGAAAUGAAGAAGAGGCCCCGAUGAUCCUUUUUGGUGAGGGUAUUAAAGUGGCUAGUGAUCCUUGAGGAGGAUCCUUUUUGCUGUAGAAUCAACGUGGUAGCUCUACUGUGGAUAUUGCCGUGAAGUACCUAUCGAAUUGGAGAGAAGUGUGUCUGCCACAUGAAGCUGCUGUGACGUCCAUUUCAGUGCUUCAUUGACAUGCACAUAAAGCACCAUCCAUUCACGCUCACAAUUUUGUUUGGAUUUGCUUCAUUGAUGGAUCAGUGUUCACAACCAUGGAUUUCAUUGGCUAUGCUUAUGUUAUUGAGGACAGUGAGGGACGGUUUCAACGUGCAGUGUCAGGGUUUCAGGAAGGCAAUGGCUCGGCGGUGGUGAUGGAGGCUAUAGCUCUUCGUUCCUGCCUUUCAUAUGCUCGUGAUUUUCUAUCUUUAAAUGGGUGUAUUUUUUCAAAUUGCCAAAAUCUUAUGAAUGCUCUCAAAUCCCAUUGUUUUAGAUAAUUUUGAAUUUGGUUUGAUUGUUCUUGAUUGUAAGCGAAUUUUAGAGUCUAGACAUGAUAUUACUGUCAGGUGGAUUCAGAGACAAGCUAAUAUGGAUGCUCACACUCUUGCUAGAGCAUCUAUACAUCAUGCUCGUUUCCAAAUUUGGGAUGAUGUUCGUCUUGUUAGUUAGAUUUUUUCCAUUGAGAUAAUGCAAUAUUAUUUCAUUUAAAACAAAUUUAAAACAAUAUAUAAAUUUUAUCAAACAAAUUUAAAUUAAUAACUCUAAAAAAUUUUAAUUUUUAGAUAUUAAAUGGUGUUAUUAGAUGUAAACUAAAUUUAUAUUGUUAUUUCAAUUUAAAUGUCUAAACAAAAUUCUCAAAUUCUUUUUUUGUUAAUAUUUUUUUGGAGAAAUAUAAUUCAUUAAUAAUAAAAGUAUUACAAAUACUCAAUUAGAUCAAAUAUAAAACUUAUUAUCAUAAUUAAUAAAAAGUUCGAUGAUCCUUCAACAAUAAAAGAAUUAUCUAUAUUUUUUUGAAUAGUAAAACUAAAAUUAAAAGAAACAGUUGGAGUUUUCCGCUUGAAAAAAACUUUGAUCGAUAUAAAUCUUCAUAGUAACAACUGAUCCUUUAAUUGAUUUGGACGAUAAAAUAACUUUUUCGAACUUUAUAUGCUUGGAUUGCUUUUUCAAAAAUUUGUUGCAUAUAACAUAUGCGGAUGAGUUUAAACCACUAUGGGUUAAUAGCAUGAAUGAAGGAACAGACUGUACUAUCAGGUUCCAUUGGUUGAAGAUACACAUCAGUAAAACAAGAUCGAAAUUCUCCAAUCAAAUAAAAUCAAAUGUCAUACCUUUUAAUAAUAAAUCUUCACAAGGAACUAAACCCUCUCAAAAGAAUGGGCAAAAAAACUCCAAAUAUGGAGACAAAACAAAUCAAUAACAAAAACAACAAUAACAAAAAUAUAUCUAUUAGAAGAAAAUGGAUUUGAGUUUAUUAAAAACAAAUAAAAGAUUAGGAGCCAGAAGAAAAAAAAAAAAAGUAUGGGGCUACUACUGAUUAACAAUGGCAACCUCAAACAAAAACUAUGAUUAAAUAAAUCAGAGAGAAAAGAGGAGGAGAGAAACCCUAAAACUAUCGAUUUUUUUUUUGUUAAUAUUUAAAAUGACGGUUUUUUUUUUUUUUUUUUUUUUUUUUGCGAAUGUUAAACAAAUCCCUAAAUAGUAUAGGUAAUAAAAUAAAAAAAAAUAUGUAUCACUUUAAUAAUAAUUUCAUGUUAAAAAAUGUUGGAAAAAUAGAGCUCUUGAAUAGGAAAAUCCGGUAUCGAAUUUUUGCUCUGCUAGGGUUUAUCACUUUAACAUUUAAAAAAAAAAAAAAACUAUUUUCAAGACAGUUCAUUUUCUAUUAUUUCUUUUUAAUAUUGAAUAUUAAUUAAAUAACUUACUUUUAAAAAUAUUUUUCCUUGACUUUUUUAAACACUUUAAAUAUAGAAAAAAUUCAAAAAUAUUUUUUAAAUAAAUUAUUUUCAAGAAAAAAUCUUGGAUAAUGGAAAUUUGGAAAAUUAGAUAAAUAAUAAUAAAACCUUAUGCACAGCAAACAUUUGUUAUAUGGUGUCCCAAGAAUAGUAAAACUUGUGGCUGAAUUUUGUAUUUCUUUUUUAGAUCACUCUCUAUCACGCUCUUAACAAUUCCCAUUUGCUGAAGUGGUCCCCAUAAAAGUAUUCUUGAUUGAGAUUUGAAUACGAAUUUCAAUUAAGUAAGCUUCAAGUUACAAACAUCAUCUUCACAAAAUUUCCUUCAUUGGUGAAGCAUUUAUCAUUUGGUAAGUUUUCUCAGAUUUAACACUAUGUUUGGAAUUGGGAGAUUUUAUGAUAGGAAGAAAAUUUUGAAUGGAAAAUAAGAAAAGAAAGCUAUUUUCCUCCUGCUUAAAUGUAAAUAAAAUUUGAAAGGAAAGAAAAUAUUACCAAAAUCCUUUCUGUCCCAUAUUUUAUUAAUCUCUCCAAAUUGGCGAGAAAAUAGGAGAUAAAUGUAUAAAAGGAUAGAAGUGUAAAUUUACAACAAUACAAUUUUCUUUCCUCCAUAUUUUAGACUUUUCUAAAUAAUAUAUAUAUAUAUAUAUUUUUUAUUUUUUUUUUUCCUUUCAAUCUAAACAUAAAAUGGAAAAUAAAGAAAAAAAGAGCUCUUGUUUUACUCGGCACAUGUACAAAAUAUAAGACAUCAAUGUGUUGAACAUGCAAAUCCCAUGCAUGUAUCUGCCAUGCAGGGAUUCAUAAUUAGCUCAACUGAAAAAUUGUUAAGAUCUUUCUUCAUUGUCUUUUUGUCAUAUAAAAAAACACGAGAAAAAUAAAAUAAAACAAGAAAAGGAAGCGCAUGCACAUGCCUGUAAAUGUAUAAUAUACAUCCAUCCAAAUGGGCAAAGAUUAGAUGCCUUCUCACCAUUUUUCCGCGCAUCCAAAACCGUAAGGGGCCACUCACACUUGAUGUGCAGGAUACUUAAAUCAGUUACGCAGCCAGAAAAUUAAAAUUAGAGAUAAAAAAAUUUUCAAGAGUUAACAAGAGUGAGAUUAAAAAUUUUAUUAUUUUAAAAGGAAAAAUAAAAAAUUUUAUUAUUUUUUAUUAUUAGACUAAUUUUAAAAGGUAAAAUAAUAUAUUUUCAUAUAUUAUUAGACUAAUUUUAUUUUAAAAUUUAAUAUUAUUUCUUCUAAGUAUUUUUUUAUGAAUAGAAAUUUUAAUAGAGAAUUAGAGAUCAUCCACUGGAUUUAAAAGUUAAAAUAUAUUUAUAAAUUAUUUCAUCUAUUACACUUAAAUUAUCAACUUGUAGCUUCUUCAUACAAAAUAAGGAGAUAAUUAAUUUAUCUUAAAUCUAUAAAAUUUUCAUUUGAAAUUAUUUUAAUAUUUAUUUUAUAAAAUAUUAUUAAGAGCGAAUGAAUAGUGAGAUCCAAUAAAGAAGAGUAAAAAAUUAAAAAUGUAAUAUACUCUUUUCUAAAUUAUAUAAAAAAAUGACACUUAAAAUAGAACAAAAAAAAAUCUUAAAAGUUAAACAGAAUAUCGGAAGUAUAAAUAAUAGAUUUUAUUUUUUAUUUUUUAAAAAUCGAAUUAAUCAGAGCAAUACUAACAAAAUAAUAUUGUAAAGUUACUUAGGACAUCCCUUCCUCUUAUCUCUCCGUGUGGUCGCUUUCAUUGGCUUCAUAAUCAUACACAUAUUCAUGGCCCACUUACGAAGCCAUCUCACAACCACAAAAUAUAAUUUUCAAAAGAAAAAUGACCGUUCGGACAGCUUGUUAAGUUUUUCCACACUUCUUCCUCACUUUCCCACUCUCUAUAACGGCUACAAUAGAAGGCUCUGGAACAAUCUACCUGUUUUAAGACGGCGGGACACGUGUAACCAAUCACAUGGGCUGCUUUUGCUCGAAAAUGGAGAAGAAUAAGCUGUAGUGUUACUCUUAGAUGUGAAUUAUUUGCUUCAAAUGAUGCUUUAGUUGUUUCUAGUGAAAAUAGAGCAAUAGUAAUUUUUUUUUUUUACCAUUUAAUAUGAUGUACAAUGAAUUUUUUACACUAUGUACUAUUAUGCAGCAGUUACAACAUUUUAAAGUCCAUCAAAUAGUAUAAUCCAUUAGAAAAUCCAAUAAAUUUCUCAUUGCUCUUUUGAAUAAUAUUUACUAUAUUUGUGCAUAUUAAUUAUUAAAAAAAAUUUAUUUACACCCGGUGUUUGGAUCUAUUUAUACAUCAAAUCAAUCACAAAUAAUAUUUUGAUUUAAUCAAAUGUAUUUCUAAUCAUAUAUUAAAAAAAGAUAAAAUAAUAAUUUUUUUGAUUGGUUUACUGAAUGAGACUACCCAUAUACUAAGUGUUGAUAAAAAUUUCCUUAAUUAUUAUAGAAAAGUUAGAAAUAAUUCAAUCGCUUUUCCUUAACUUACUUUUUUGCACUUAAUGUAAUAAAAAAAACUUCAAAACUUUAAUAAUGUAAAAUGAUUCUUACUAAAUUGUAUAGUUAAGUCUAAUAGGAUUGUUGAGACUUUGGUUCUUAAUUUAUGAAAUUUCAAUUUUUAUCCUAAAAAAAAAAAAACAAAGUAACAGGAAAGCUCAUAUAAAUGAACAUGCAAGAGAAAAAAAAAUCAUUUUUUAACUAAAGUAAAUUAUUGCAUACUUCCCUCCUAGAUUACUCUGAAAAAUAAAAAAUAAAAUACACAAAAUUAAAAAUAUACGAGCUUUGUUAACAGAUACAUAUUACGUACAUUUACGAUUACAUUCUUAGCAUAAUAUCAAAAUUUUCAAAAACAUUACAGUUCUUUUAUUCUAUUUACAUUGUAAGUAUCUCUCUACACAGAUUAUGCCAAAAAUACUUUUUGAAUAUCAGUUAAUCAGAUUUAAAAUAGAAUCAGGUGCAGGUGAUAUUACUUAAAAAAAUAAUAUUUCACUGUGCCACGGCAUAUAAGAUAAAAGUGUAAUCGGCAUAUAAGAAGGCACAAAAUCAAGAGAGUUGACAUGAAUGGACUGCUGUUGGGAGUGUGAGUUGGACGGAUUUGAAAUAAAGAUAAGAGGAAAGGCAUAGGUGGGACCUGUUUACUGUGCCACAGCAUGAACCGUGAUGUUUUUUGCCAGCUGGUGGACACGUGAUUCUUGAUUAGUUCAAUUACUGCAUUUGAUCAAACAUGGCCCCACUCUUUGAAUAUUUAAUUUAAGAAAAAAACCCAACCAGAACACCUCAUAUUUCCUGACUGAAAUGCUUGCUUGCUGCGGGCUACUACAAUAUAUAAGAUAUAUCUAUACUGAAACCCUUUAUCUUUAAUUGGCAUUAUUAAAAGAUUUUGUAACCUUACACCGUGGAAAUACUGGAAAUGACAAUUUUAACUCAUUUAAAUGUAAAAGUUAAUUAACAAAUUUAUUUUGGAUAAUUUAUACAAAAUAUGAAUAAAUAUUGUAUUUCUAAAAUAUAAGUCGUUUAAAGUAUUGCAUGCGAUUAAUGAAUCAAUUAAUUUCGCUAAAAAUUAUAUCACUCCGUCUCAAAAUUUAAGUUGUCUAAGGUGAUAAUUUUAUCACAAAAUAUAAGUCAUUUUGAAUAUUUUAAGAAAUUACAAAUGAUUUUUUUUCUUUCAACUGUAUCCUUAUUUAUAUUAGAUAUAAUACAACGAUGUGAGAUAAAAGUAACAAUGAGAGAUAAAUGAUAAUUUGUUCAAAUUACUCUUGAUUUUGUUAGAAAUUUAGAAAAAUUAAUUGCAUUUUUAAUUCUCGUAUAAAAAUCUUAAACGACUUAUAUUUUGGACAAAUAGAGUAAUAAACUCAACAAUAAUUUGAUUUAUGAGAAUUAAUUUAAACGAUCAAAUUAUCCUUAAUCUCAAAAUCAAGUUAUUGUAUUAUGAAUAAAGUUAAAAUUGGAAAAAAGAUUAUUUGUUAAAUAUGUUUUGAAAUCAAAUAGUUUUAUGAGUUAAAAAGAUUAGAAAUAAUCAUUUUUUAAAUUCAUUUGGUGUUAAAUUGGGAUGAUAAAUUAUCAAAAAAAAAAAAAAAAUAUAUAUAUAUAUAUAUAUUUGACAAACAGAUUGAAAGCUAGUUCUUUUGAAAGUUUACUGAGAACACAAAUUACAAGCUCAUAGUAGUUAGUAGCUUGAUUAAGGAAACCCAUGAAGGACAAAAUGACAGUGGCAAAUGCCUUUGAGACCAAAAGGCUUCAGCUUCAAUUUUUUAUAACGUAACAUUUAAUAUCUUUCUCUUUAUGAUUUUUAAAUUAUUGUAAUUGCUAUCAACAGUAUAAAGUAUAGAAAAUUCAUUAUAUAUAAUAUUGAAUAAAAAAAAAAAAAGGGUGAGAAAUGUCAUUAUUUAUAGAAUUAAUUCACACAAACAUAAAUGCGAAGCUUCAUUCUACCUUUUAGGUGCUACCAUUCACUGAAGGGGAACGCACGCAUCAUUGAAGCUCAACGCCUGUCUUUUGCACUUUUCAAACUGAAUCAUUUCAUUCGUGAAAUAAAUUGAUGGAUAAAGGGCAAUUGCCAAACAAUAUUAACGGCAAAAACAAACGAGUCUUUUUUUUUUUUCUUUUUCUUUUCUUUUCAUUAGAAUAUUUAAAGUAUUGGUUAGAGGUAUAAUUAUAAAAUAUAAUUGAUCUCAUAAUUAAUCUUUUCCUUUUCUUAAUAAUAAUCAUUAUAGUCUUGCUUUUGGUGUUAUAGUUGUUUUUUUUUUUUAAUAAUAAAAAAAUAAUGUAUUAUGUCAAUCGAAUGUGAUCUGAUUGGUAUUUCCAUUCACCUUGAGAAGUUUCAAAUUUUAGAUAGUUAACUAUCAGAGUUAUCGUCAAUUUUGCUUAUAAAACAACAAGAGAGCUACCUAUAUUAUGCAGCCCACAAAAAUUCUUUAUAAUAAAUUAAAAAAAUAUUAUUUUAUUAAAAUUGAUAUAUUAUAUUUGUUAUUUAAUAGUUUGAACUAGAAAAAUAAGCUACUAAAAUUCACACAGAUUUUCUUAAAUAUAAAUUUUUACUAUGAAAAAUAGAAAUCAAAGUCAGAAAACAGAAAUGAUACAAAAUAGACACGUAAUCAUAUUUGAUGAGCAUUUCUCAUAAUACACGUUAGCUUGUUUAGCUUGUUUCGUGUAAAUUGAUGAUCCCAUUCUGUUUCGACAUAAAUGGUAUCAUUGGUUAUUAUAAACAAUUUCAAAAAUUUUUGAGCUACCACCAUAAAUACAACUUGUAUGAUUUCAAUUUUCAAAUUUAAAAGUUAUCUAAUAUCUACUUUAUCAAUGGACCUACACCUUUCCAAAUUUCUUGUUAAUCUUAUGCAUUAGAAAAUUUAGCCAAAUAAAAUUGAUAUUAUAUAUCAAUUUUAUUUAUUUUUCAAUUUAAAAUCACAAGUUUAAUUAUCGGAAAAUGCAUAUACUAUGAAGAAAAAAUUUUUAUAAUCAACUAUCCAAAAGAGAUUAGUUUACACCAAUAUAGUAGAAGAAAAAUAGUGGAAGAACACGUGACGAUUCUAAUAUGAUAUACAUAAACUAAAAAUAUUUUAAAGGAGUCUUCACUUAUAAUUUUGUUUUCAAAAUUUAAUACUUGUAAUUUGUUUUAACCAACUAUUUACUAUUUUUAAUUGAUUUUGUAAACUCAAAACUCCAUUUAUUUUUCAAAAAAUAAUUUAUUUUUAAAAAAUAUUUUUAAAAGCAAAACAUACUUGAAAAUUUGAAAUAACACAUUUUCUAUUGUUUGGUUACAAUAUUGAAAAAUUGUUAAAAAAUAUUAAAGCUUUUAUAAGAUCGAAAAAAUUUAUAAUUAUAAAAAGUUUCACAUUUUAAAAUUUUAUUAUUUAAUACAACAUAAAUAUUUAUUACGUGCUUGAUUGUAAUUUGUAUCUAAGACUUAAUCAUAUUUUAUGGACCAAAGAUAUAUUUUGUAUAGAAUCCAGAUAGAAAUAAGAGAUUAUAUUCCUAAAUCCUUCGCUAACUCUCAAUGAACUAGCAAUCACUCCAAAAUACUUAUUGAAUUGGUAUUUCAAAUAUUUAUCUAAUAAAGAUUCCACCUACAACUCUAAUGAAAAUUCUUUACCUCUGUAUAAAAGAGGGAUCAAACUCCCUACUCACACUAUUUAGGCAAUGUAAUACCAAUAUAUUUCAUUCAAUUAUAAGUAUUUAUUAUUUAUUUACUGACUUAAACAUAAAAGUGAUUGCAGGCCUAGAUGAGACCUUUAUUAUUCGUUUAUGUCUUGCAGAUUUCUACGGACCUCUCUUUAUUUUUCCUUGUUCAUUUAUGUCUUACAGAUUUUUACAUAGGCGCUAUGGAUAGAUUUUUCUAAGUCUAUCAUUAUUAAAUAUGAGAAACAAUAUUAUAAAAAAAGAUAAAUUACGAUAUCUAUCGAUGACCGUGGUCGUGAAAAUAAUGAUUAAUUAAUAAUAAAUAUGUAUUUAUAAGUUUAUAAUAAAUUUAUCAGUAUCUGAAAAAUAUUUUUCUCUUUUAGAAAAAGAAAGUUAUAAAAAUGAUUUAGUUCUCUCUUUCUUAAGGAAAAUAUCAUCUGUUGCUAAUUUUCUUGAACACUUCAAACAUUAAAAAAAAAUCUAAAAAAUAUUAUUCAGACAAGUUAUUUCUCGAAAUUAAUGGAAUCUCAAUAUUAAUUUAUUAUUAUUUUUUCCAUUGAGAAAAAAAUAUAUUAGAUUUAUUCCACUAUUGAGAAUAAAGGAAAUCAUUUAAAAUAAGAAAGCUCAAAAAGUUAUAGCCGUAAUACUAAUAGCAUUAUUUCAAAUUUGUUUGACAUGAUGUAAUCAACCGAAAUGAUAAUUACAUUAUAUGAGUAAUUACAUUAUUUGAUUAGACUUUUUUUAAUAGCGUAGUAUAAUUGAGACUACGUGUAUAAUCUUCAUCACUUAAAUUGAUGUAAUACUCAUUACAUGAAAAAACACACAUAUUGUCUAUUACAUCAAGUAAAUGGAAUACCGAUUAUAUUAAGUCAUCCCAAUCAAAACUCUACCAUUCUAGAUUAUUUAGGCUGUGUUGGGUAAUAAAGUUUUGAGUGGCUUUUAAAGUUUUGACUGGUCAAAACGUUACUUAAAAAGUUGUUUGGUAACAUAGCGUUUGGACUAGCUUUUAGAGAUUAGAAUAACGUUUUGUGAAAAGUUAACUCACGUAACGUUUAGCUUUUAGCGUUUCAUGAAAAACUACUCAAACAGCUAACAACUAAACACUAUUAAAAUAGCAAAUAGCUACCAAAAUAGCUAAUUUUGCCGAACAUAUCCUUAAUACUACCACUUCACCACCACAACCACUAUCACCGCUUCACCACCACAGCACCACCUUAACACCCACCACAACCACUGCCACAAUUACUACUCCACCACCACCACCACCACUACUGUUCCAUCACUACUUCAACCACCAUUACCGCUCUGCAACGACAACCAUCACCAUUGUUCUACCAUCACCACUACUACCACCAUCACUGCUCCAUCACUAUCACCUCAACUACCACCACCGCUGCUGCUGCCUCAACUCCUACCAUCAUCGCUCCACCACCACUAUCACCACCAUCGCUUUACCACCACCACCAUGUGGUGGUGAUAUGAUUAGUGGUGAUGGUGUGCUAAUUAUAUUACAUAUUUACAAAAAAAAAAAAAAAGAACGAUGAUUAUAUUCCUAAAUUUUCUUGAUAAUAUUAUCAAACAUAGUAAUGAAAUCUUAAUUAAAUUACGUUUUUCAUCACAUUACUUCUUUAAUUACAUUAUAUUGCCUUACAUCAAACCAGACAUAGCGUUAGCAUGUAUAUCCUCAUACACAUCAAAACUUGACUCUAAUAUCUAUGAGAAAAAUGCACAGUUAAGCCCUUAAAUUUAAUCAGUUUUUCCAUUAAACUUUUAUUUAUGAAUAUUAAGUUUUUAAACUUUUAUUUUUUUUAAAAAAAUUAAACUCUAUUUAACCGAGAUUUAAACUUUUAUUUUUUUAAAUUAAACUCUUAUUUAAUUAUGAGUUAAACAAUUAUAAUCCCAUAUGUUAUACGCGGUUGAUGGGAAAACUUAAUCGAAUUGUUAAAUCUCUUAAACUUUUAUUUUUUGAAAAUUAAGUUUUUAAAUUUGUACUUUUGUUAAAGUGAGUAUUUAAAUUAUUUCCAUUAUCAGUGAUUUGAAUUUAUUAUUUACUCACUAUCGAUUUAGAACUUAAUUUUAACUUAAAUAAAAAUUGAAGGAUUCAAUAUUGAUAAAUGAAAUUGCAGGAGCUUAGUAGACAAAACUUGAAAAAUAAGAGGCUUAAGUACAUCUUUUACCAAAUAUAAUCAAGAGUUAAUUUACACUCACACAUAGGUGAGGAUAGGAUUAGGAUAGAAGUGUGGUAAGUGCCCGCGAACUUUGAGUUAUCCAUAUCUAUAUCUGUUUAGAGCUUUAAAAUCAAUUGUAUCUAUGUUAAAUCCGUUUAAAUACCUAUAUCAAAAUCUGUUUAAAAUUUUACUGUCCGAUCCAUUCAAAAUCUAUUUUAAAUACUUGUAUUUGAUGUUCAUAAAAUUUAAACCAUUUAAACACGAACUUAUUUAAAAAAGUAUCUUCCAUUGAUAAUGGAUAAAGUAUCAAGGAUACUCACAGUAAAACUCAUUUAAUAUAAUGGAUAACAAGUAACGAAUAUUCAAACUCAUUUAGUAAAACUCCUGAAUUCAAACGACAGGAUUUGCAAGUGAAGAGAGAUGGAACCUAAAACGGUUGGCUAUGUACUCAAUGUAGAUUCACUAACAAAGUACAACAAAUGCAAAUACCAAGUAAAAAGGAACAAAUGGUUAAGAAUUCAGACAAAGUCCUAACUUCAAAGUUCAAAGUUCAAACCAUAAAAUCAUUUCAGUAAGGAGAAAUCAAACUAAAACUUUUGAAUGUUAAAAUUUCAACUUUAACCACAGAACCAAAACCCUGUUAGCUAUGUACUAACACAAAGUGCAAGAAACACCGAGUACGAACUCAAGCACAGUAAGAUUGAGCUGGAUUGCCCAUAACCCAAAAACACUAGAAUGUGUCUGGUGUGGAGGGGUCCAGAAGCCAACUUAAAUAGAAGCAGAGGGACAACACUGGAAAUUAUGAUUUAAAAAAAAAAAAAAAAAAAAAACUAAAAAGCAAAGAGAGAAACAGACAAGAAAUAACCGUUGUAGGGGUGGCUUUUUGGGUUGGAUGCCAGGCUGACGCUUGAGCCCCCCUCAGAUGAUUCAGCUCACAUGGUCUAUCUGUACACUCUGGGUCCCACCCUCCACUUUCUCUCUCUACUACCCUCUUUGGAUUAGUUGUCAAAUGAUCCUUUUAUGUUAUCAUAUUACACACUUUCAUCCUAUCUAUUUCAAAGUUACUAACUUUAGUUAAUGAGAUUUAAUCUGCCAAAUGCAUAAAUUAAUAUCUAAAUUUUAUAAGAAGAGUCUAGUAGCACCUUUAAACGUUGAAAACUUCUUUUCGUAAAAUUAUAGCUAGUAAAUGCCUUAAUUUAAAAAACCGUAUUUAUUAAAUACUUAAACGUAUAUAAUUAUGUUUAUUAAAUAUUUAUCGGAUGAUUUAAAAUAUAAAAAUUUUAUUAUUUAAUAAAUUAUAUUAAAAGUUAUAUAAAAUGUUACACUUAUUGAAUAUAUUAUUUAGUAAUUGUUGUAAAAUUAAAAACCCUGUUUUUUUUUUUUUCAAAUUAAGUUGAUACUUAGUCUCAACUGUGCUUUUAUCCAUAAUUUUAAAUAAUUUAUUUGUAGAAACCCUAAAAACCAUAUAUUUUUCGUUGACAUAUCAUAAAAAUUAAAAUUAUUAAUUUCAAACUGUUUAAAUACUGGUAAAAUGUAAAAUAAUGCAAAUGGUGACAGUUUUUGCAACCAACUUUUUUUCUUGGAAAUUCUCUGUAUUACAAUCGUCUUUUAUAAUAUUUUUAUUAAUAUUAUUUUGUUCCAAACAUGCCCUUGUCUUAUCCAAAUAAUGCCCCGUACUCUCCUGCCCUUCUCUCUAUUCUUAUAAGGGCAGUGGCCUGUGGAUCAAAGACCACAGUCCCAAGAGAGAAGAGAAAGACAAAGCAAUUAAGCUCACAAGAGAGAAGCUCUUCUAUUUUCUAGAGUAAGAAAGAAGAAAGAAGACGAUGGCCAAGGAAGUAAGUGAAGAAACGCAAACUACCCAUGCAAAGGAUUAUGUUGAUCCACCACCUGCGCCACUGAUCGACAUGGCUGAAAUCAAGCUCUGGUCUUUCUACAGAGCUUUAAUAGCUGAGUUCAUAGCCACUCUCCUUUUCCUUUACAUAACUGUAGCCACUGUAAUUGGCUACAAGAAACAAACUGAUCCAUGUGGUGGAGUUGGUCUUUUGGGCAUUGCAUGGGCCUUUGGUGGCAUGAUCUUUAUCCUUGUUUACUGCACUGCCGGUAUAUCUGGUAAGUAAAAAAAAAAGGAACUAUUUCUCUAAGUUACUAGUACCCAAAUGGGUAUUUAUUAAGUUUUAGGUUUCUGUGAAGUUUCUUUGUGGAUUUGGUCAUUCAACUUGAAAAAUAACAAAACCCAUUUGUUUUCAAGACCUGUUUAAUAAUGGGUUUUCCUUAUUUUGGUUACAGGUGGUCAUAUUAACCCAGCAGUGACCUUUGGGCUGUUUUUAGCAAGAAAGGUGUCACUAAUUCGAGCCUUGGCUUACAUGGUGGCUCAGUGUUUAGGUGCCAUCUGUGGUGUAGGGUUGGUCAAAGCUUUUAUGAAGAAUCCAUAUAAUCAUCUUGGUGGUGGUGCUAACUCUGUAAAUACCGGCUAUAGCAAAGGAACUGCUUUGGGUGCUGAGAUCAUCGGCACUUUUGUUCUAGUCUACACUGUUUUCUCUGCAACUGACCCCAAGAGAAGUGCACGUGACUCACACGUUCCUGUAUGUUAUCAACCAUAGCCUAGUAUAGCUCUCCUCUUUCAUGUCAAAGAGUUCAAAUCUAAACUUUGUUUUGGUUAUGUUUGGUUGCAGAUUUUGGCUCCACUUCCAAUUGGGUUUGCAGUUUUUAUGGUUCACUUGGCUACCAUACCCAUUACUGGUACUGGUAUUAACCCAGCGAGGAGCUUCGGUGCUGCUGUUAUUUACAACAAUGAUAAAGUCUGGGAUGAUCAUGUAAGCCUCUUGAUAGUCAACCAGAAACUUAUUUUUCUUGAUUUUAUGGUUGUUUUGAAGUUGGUGCUUUUUAACAUAAAACAUCAGAAGUAGGUUAAUUUUCAAGAAUAUGUUUAUCUUCUUGAUAAAAUAAUUUAAUUUCCUUUUUAAUUAUUUUUUGGAUGGGCAGUGGAUUUUCUGGGUUGGACCGUUUGUUGGAGCAAUUGCAGCAGCUGCAUACCAUCAAUACAUACUGAGAGCAGCAGCUAUCAAAGCUUUGGGAUCUUUCCGCAGCAACCCCACCAACUAAAAUGAAAGAAAGAACGAAAGAAAGAAAAACAAGAAAAAAAAAAAAAACCAAAGGCUUUGUGUAGCUAUCUUUAGUCUCUAGUCUUUCUUUUUCUCUAUUUGUUUGUUUGUUGUGUGUAAUGAGAGGAUUAUGAUGAUGACCCUUCUUUCUUCUUUCUUUUUUUACUUCAUUUUUUCUUUUCUUAUUGUUCUUUUGUAUCAUUGUUAAUGAGUAGUGCUGUUCUUUUUUCUUUCUUUUGAUCAUAUUUAAUUGCUUUGUGCAGUGUAGAACGUUCUCUCUCAACACUCUUUUAAUAAUUAGCCACUAAAUAAACUACCAGCUAACUAAAUUUUUAUCCUCUCGACCUUCAUUACAGCGGUGCUAGUGAAUUUGUGAGUAGCGGUUAGGCCAUCUUCGGGAACAGUUUUUUCAUAUGGC